AUACAAAGCACAACUCAUUAAUAUUGCCAUAAAAAUUGUAAAACGAAAAGGAGAGCUUGGUAUUACAAUUUUUAUGGUAAUAUUAAUGAGUUGUGCUAUGUAU